rnacentral:lncRNA from 1 species
AUUUCACAGCCUAAAGACAUCAUUUAUGUAACUUCUUAAGCCGUCACAAAAUGACUGCAAUAAGAAAAUAGAAUUUAUUAACUUGCCCUCGCUAAGAAUGUUUUUUUCAAUUUUUUUGAUUUUGCGGCUUUAGCGCUUAGCUAUUUAGCCAGAUACAUGAUGAGAAUUAAUACUAUUAUAAUACAUAUUAAAACUAAUUCAAAUUACUAGUAAUUUUAUUAAUAUUCUGAAUAAUUAUGUAACCACUUAAUACUAAAAUAAAAAAGUGUCCAUCUAUACUAUCCCAACACAUUUUCACCUUUGAAAUCGUAAAUUUCCAUUCCCAUUAAAAAAUAAUUUGUACUGUAUAAGUAUAUUUCUUUUGAGCUUCAUUUUUUUUUUUUCAAAAUACUGCAACAUGAGUUUUAAAUUAUGACACAGUACAAUACUUGUUUCAAUAUUUACAUGUAAACAAAAUAAUCCUAAUUACUUGUAAAAGUAAGGUUAUAAAUUUAACAGAACUCUCUUUUAAAAGUAAAGUGACAUUAGACUAUUUUUAAAAUUCCCGCUAAAAGGAAAAAGGUAAAUCUGGCAACAGUGCCGUCGUUUGCUGGACAUUUAAUCUCUCCCCUCUCUGUGUCGGGUCGUGUUUUUGUCGCGUAUGUCAUUAUUGGUCUGAUGUAAUAAACGUCUUUAAUUUUACUAUUUGGGUUAUCUCGUUAAAACUUACCUAGCUUCGCAUAUCUUUACAGUUUCGUAUAUACUUAAGGUGCAGUAAAUAUAAUAAAGAUAAACGGCGCGGCACGCGGCGGUUUUUUGAAAAUUAUCAGAAAUUAUAGGACCCGACUUUCCCCUAUAUCAUUAUAAGCAAUAAUAUUUAAUUCGUUCUAAAUUUAUUUACUAAUCGAAUAGUAGUCGAAAAUCAUAGUAAAAUAUAAUUGCACAUUUUUUAAUACCAGAUAAUUGUGCUGUAUAUAAACGAAGUCUUUAUCUCUAGUUUCUGAUAGUGCUGCACUACUCGAGUAGAUACUUCAAGUAGCGGCGUAGUAUAGAGUAUUUCUUCUGUGUUUA